AAAGAUAAGACUUUAUAUAAAUAGAAUGAAAAAAGAUGAUGGGUCAUGGAUCGAAGAUGAAGAUGACAUUGUUCGAGAGGCUAUUCAAUUCUUUGAAAAAUAGUUCACUAAAGAUAAUACCAAUAGAGAUUAUUCUAUCCUUAAUAUUAUUCCUAAGUGUAUAGAUGUGGAUGACAACAGAAAGAUUAUUGCUUUCGUCACUA
rnacentral:lncRNA from 1 species